AUUGAACGCUGGCGGCAUGCCUAACACAUGCAAGUCGAACGGAGCGUCGGACGGGUGCGUAAUGCCUAGUCAUCUGCCUGGUAGUGGGGGAUACCGUCCGGCCACGGGCGCUAAUACCGCAUACUAUCAGGUGAUUCUCGGUCGGGUUAGCUCGUUGGUGGGGUAAAGGCCUACCAAGGCGACGAUCCGUAACUGGUCUGAGAGGAUGAUCAGUCACACUGGAACUGAGACACGGUCCAGACUCCUACGGGAGGCAGAAGUGGGGAAUAUUGGACAAUGGGCGAAAGCCUGAUGCAGCCAUGCCGCGGGUGUGAAGAAGGUCUUCGGAUUGUAAAGCACUUUAAGUUGGGAGGCGGUACCAAAAGAAUAAGCACCGGCUAACUGCGUGCCAGCAGCCGCGGUAAUAC
rnacentral:rRNA from 1 species